rnacentral:rRNA from 1 species
CCUACGGGAGGCAGCAGUGAGGAAUAUUGGUCAAUGGUCGGGAGACUGAACCAGCCAAGCCGCGUGAGGGAGGAAGGUACAGAGUAUCGUAAACCUCUUUUGUCAGGGAACAAAGGCGGGGCCGUUUCCCCGGAUGAGUGUACCUGAAGAAAAAGCAUCGGCUAACUCCGUGCCAGCAGCCGCGGUAAUACGGAGGAUGCGAGCGUUAUCCGGUUUUAUUGGGUUUAAAGGGUGCGCAGGCGGCUUGUUAAGUCAGCGGUAAAAGCCCGGGGCACAAGCCCGCCCCGCCGUUGAAACUGGCAGUCUCGAGUUGGAGAGAAGUAUGCGGAAUGCGCGGUGUAGCGGUGAAAUGCAUAGAUAUCGCGCAGAACUCCGAUUGCGAAGGCAGCAUGCCGGCUCCACACUGACGCUGAGGCACGAAAGCGUGGGUAUCGAACAGGAUUAGAUACCCUUGUAGUC